CCUACGGGGGGCAGCAGUCGAGAAUAAUUCACAAUGGGGGAAACCCUGAUGGUGCGACGCCGCGUGGGGGAAUGAAGGUCUUCGGAUUGUAAACCCCUGUCAUGUGGGAGCAAAUUAAAAAGAUAGUACCACAAGAGGAAGAUACGGCUAACUCUGUGCCAGCAGCCGCGGUAAUACAGAGGUCUCAAGCGUUGUUCGGAAUCACUGGGCGUAAAGCGUGCGUAGGCGGUGUGGUAAGUCGUGUGUGAAAGGCGCGGGCUCAACCCGAGGACGGCACAUGAUACUGGGAGACUAGAGUAAAGGAGGGGGAACCGGAAUUCUUGGUGUAGCAGUGAAAUGCGUAGAUAUCGAGAGGAACACUCGUGGCGAAGGCGGGUUCCUGGACUGUAACUGACGCUGAGGCACGAAGGCCAGGGGAGCGAAAGGGAUUAGAUACCCGUGUAGUC
rnacentral:rRNA from 1 species